CCUACGGGGGGCUGCAGUGGGGAAUAUUGGACAAUGGGCGAAAGCCUGAUCCAGCCAUGCCGCGUGUGUGAAGAAGGCCUUCGGGUUGUAAAGCACUUUCAGUGGGGAAGAAAGCCUUGGGGCUAAUACCCUCGAGGAAGGACAUCACCCACAGAAGAAGCACCGGCUAACUCCGUGCCAGCAGCCGCGGUAAUACGGAGGGUGCGAGCGUUAAUCGGAAUUACUGGGCGUAAAGCGCGCGUAGGCGGUCUGAUAAGCCGGUUGUGAAAGCCCCGGGCUCAACCUGGGAACGGCAUCCGGAACUGUCAGGCUAGAGUGCAGGAGAGGAAGGUAGAAUUCCCGGUGUAGCGGUGAAAUGCGUAGAGAUCGGGAGGAAUACCAGUGGCGAAGGCGGCCUUCUGGACUGACACUUACGCUGAGGUGCGAAAGCGUGGGUAGCAAACAGGAUUAGAUACCCCUGUAGUC
rnacentral:rRNA from 1 species